GGUACACACUGCAGAGUACAGGAUGACGCAGUACAGGUACACACUGCAGAGUACAGGAUGACGCAGUACAGGUACACACUGCAGAGUACAGGAUGACGCAGUACAGGUACACACUGCAGAGUACAGGAUGACGCAGUACAGGUACACACUGCAGAGUACAGGAUGACGCAGUACAGGUACACACUGCAGAGUACAGGAUGACGCAGUACAGGUACAAGUACAUACUGCAAAGCGGAGCAUUUUCCCUUUAAGCCUGCCCCCUAGAUCAUCCCCUUACUGUAGCCAGGGGCCCAGCAGGUGCCUCCCUGACACA